UGCGAAAUAGCUCAGUUGGGAGAGCUGUUAGACUGAAGAUCUAAAGGUCCCUGGUUCGAUCCUCGGUUUCGCAG
rnacentral:tRNA from 1 species